rnacentral:lncRNA from 1 species
GAGUAGCUGGAAUUACAGGUGCCUACCACCACGCCUGGCUAAUUUUUGUAUUUUUAGUAGAGAUGGGGUUUCACCAUGUUGGCCAGGCUGGUCUUAAACUCCUGACCUCAGGUAAUCCACCCGCCUUAACCUCCCAAAGUGCUGGGAUUACAGGCGUGAGCCACCAUGCCCGGCCACAAAUGUUUCUAGAAUUUCAUAAUUAAAUGCUUUGCAGCUUUUAAAGACUUUUACAGUAUUUCACUUGAUGUUUGCAAAAAAGGAAGCUUUAUUUAAUCCUUUUUAGAUUCCAUUACAGAGUGUGUUCAUUUUAUAUUGCUGCUGUGCAAAUUACCACCAACUUAGUGGCUUAAAAAAAUUUAUUAUCUUACAGUUGGUCUGACAUAAGUCUCACCAAGCUAAAAUCAAGGUAUGAUCAGGGUCACAUUCCUUCCUGGAGGCACUAGAGGAGAAUCCUUUUCCUUGCUUUUCUAGCUUCUAGAGGCCUACCACAUUCCUCCACCAUCAAAAUCCGCAACUGCAUUUUAGAUGAGUCUUUUCGCAAUGGCAUCACCCUAACUUUCUCUCCUGCCUGCCUCUUACAGGAAGACUUUUAAGGACCCUUGUGACUGCAUCAUUGGGACCACCAGUAUAAUUCAGAAUACUGUCCCUAUUUUAACUCAGCUGAUUAGUGCUCAUAAAACAUUGAAUUGGUUGACACUGAUCUUGUACUUCCCAGCCCCUAGAACUGUGAGGAAUAAAUUUCUGUUUUUUAUAAAUUACCCAGUCUCAGGUAUUUUGAUAUAGCAGCAGGAAUGGACUAAGACACGUUUUUUAUUCACAAUAAACAUUUAGUUAUACUUCUGAAUUUUAAGAAGAAUGUUUUAUAUGUUCCACAUUAACAUUUUAUUUUAAAAUAUGUACAAUGUUUUCUGAUUUAUUCAUUACUGAAUCUCAACUGUUAAAUCAAGUUUAACUUAAAGCUGCCUCCUUAAAUAUUUUAAGUUCAGCCUAAAGGUUUCUCUGUACAUAGUGAACUAUAACCUAAAUGGAGUUGUCAACAGACUGAGUCUACUCUUGUGCCGAUCACCAAGUUUUGGCCAAUUAAAGGGGUCAGUUCAAACUGUUCAAAUAAGGUAAAUUCUGUGCUGUAACCAGUCUGGCUGUUUCUGUUACUCAUUUCCGUUUUCUGUAUGUCACUUUCCUUUUUCUGUCUGUAACUCUUCAUCCAUCACGUGGCUGCACUGGAGUCUCUCUGAGUCUAUCAUUCUUUGCUCAAUUAAAGUCUGUUAAAUAUAAUUUGGCUAAUGUUUUUGUUUUAACAAUACAUACAUAUGUAAUGUACAUAUAUAUAUAAUGGCUAUACAUACAUACAUCAGAUUAGUCUAAUUUUCUUAGUCUAUCAAUUCUACAUGGUAGAACAAUUUUAUUACACUACAGAUUUGGUAAUCUCUCCAUUCUUGAGGUUCAUAAAAUAGCAGAUCUUAAAAAUGUCAUUGAUCCAUUAUACGUACUGAAAGUUUUUACUCUUAGAGGUUUUAUAAGAUUUACAAGAUCAUUUUUAACCUGAUAUACAUUGCUGGAUGAGGAAAAAAUAAUUUUGAAAUAAAUUCUUUAAGACAAAUGAGAAAUUCUGGGUAGCUGGAAUUGCUAUUAUAGCUACAUUUAUCUUAGCAGUUAUUGGAAAAAGUGUGCAUAUGCAAUAUGUCAUAUCAAUCCAUAAAGUAAUCCUUAUGAUCAUGAAGGAAGAACUUAUUUCCAUACUACUGCAGUAGACUAAAACAUAAUAAUAUGAAUUAGCAUUAGAAUAUAAUCUUAACAUUCAGCUAAUAGUUCAAAGUGCAUUUUUAAAAAUAUGGUAGUCUUUGGAGGACAGUUUGGUAGUAACCUAAUCAAAUUUAAAAAUGUGUUUACCCUGGGUCAAAUGCUAUUUCUAGUUCUAGAUCCCUGAGGAAUCGCCACACUGACUUCCACAAUGGUUGAACUAGUUUACAGUCCCACCAACAGUGUAAAAGUGUUCCUAUUUCUCCACAUCCUCUCCAGCACCUGUUGUUUCCUGACUUUUUAAUGAUUGCCAUUCUAACUGGUGUGAGAUGGUAUCUCAUUGUGGUUUUGAUUUGCAUUUCUCUGAUGGCCAGUGAUGAUGAGCAUUUUUUCAAGUGUUUUUGGCUGCAUAAAUGUCUUCUUUUGAGAAGUGUCUGUUCAUGUCCUUCGCCCACUUUUUGAUGGGGUUGUUUUUUUCUUGUAAAU